rnacentral:rRNA from 1 species
AAGCGUUUAUGACCAGACUUGGGCUUGGUUAAUCAUCUGGGGUUCUCCCCAGUGCACUUUUCCAGUCCAGGCCAGCAUCAGUUUUCCCCGGGGGAUAAAGGCGGCGGGAAUGUGGCUCUCUUCGGGGAGUGUUAUAGCCCACCGUGUAAUACCCUGGGGGGGA